AACUGCUGAACCUGUGUGGAAAGUUUGUUGAGCACAGACACAGAGAAAAAACCCGAGGUUUAACCUGGAGUUUCACUGUGAACUACACUCGCAGAUUCCAGUCACUCACACAAUCCUAGUGUGGACAGACAAUCAUGAAAGCUCUGCUUCUUCUACUUCCAGCUGACAAUAAUGAUUGGAUGGCUUCCUCUGCAAACUCAUCGGCCCCCUCACUGCUCAGCUGUGUGCGACGGCCAAGGCUGGCAGCACAGGAUAUACUUUCAACUGAAGGAGGAACAAGGUAAGAAUACACAGUGAGCGCAGAGGACUACAUUAUUAUUCCCGAGCAUUAGAUUUCCAAGCUCGUACUCCAGGAGACAUGAAGACGCAAACAGAGUUGAUAAUGGAAACAGAUUAGAUUCAGGCCUUUAAAUUUAGGACGUCUGCCGUUGCUUUAUCGCUAACCUAAGACAUGUUGUGAUUUUAUUGCUUGAUUCCUAAUGACUGGGAGGGAAACCCUCCACAUGUGCAGCAUCAAUUAUCCAUUUAUUUAACAUACUUUGAUGUCAGUUCAUGAGGAAAAACAUGGGGAACAAAAACAAGCACGGAUGGCAUCAAAACAGAGGGAAGAGACCACGUAUUAAGUUAUAUCCACAGCAUGAUCUUUACCUGAACCCAAGAAACAUGUUUGUGUGUGAGAGAGAGAGGGAUUGACAACAUGAAACUCCAACUACUGCAACUUUCUUUAAUUCAUACCAAUAUUUUAUUUGCUGAAUAUCACCAAGAA